UGACCUAGAGCGGCGCACGGGUGCGUAACGCGUAUGCAACCUACCUUUUACUGGGGGAUAGCCCAGAGAAAUUUGGAUUAAUACCUCAUGGUAUUAUUGAUAGGCAUCUAUUAAUAAUUAAAGGUUACGGCAAAAGAUGAGUAUGCGUCCCAUUAGCUAGUUGGUGAAGUAACGGUUCACCAAGGCAACGAUGGGUAGGGGUCCUGAGAGGGAGAUCCCCCACACUGGUACUGAGACACGGACCAGACUCC
rnacentral:rRNA from 1 species